AUGCAAGAAAAGGGUAAGAAAAUUCAGCAUAAAAUGAUUAACCAACGCUGGGAGGUGUGGCCACCUACUGCGCUGCCCUGCACUCAACUGAGGUCCAGGACAGACUGAUCUCAUGAGCUCCUCUUCACCCCGGCCUGAAACAGCUCCGUGACGUCAUGUAUCAAGCCUGCUCGUUUUUACUCAGAGACGGGCUAACCCUGUAUUCUCUUAAUCCUGCACCCAUCAUUGCCAACCAGGAUUUGACGGUGUACAGGCUGUAUGUGCAAGGUGAAGUUGGUGCUGGCUGUGGUGUUGGCUGCAGGUGUGCAGAGGACUGGCUUCAGCACCACCAGGAUCAGAGGGGAGGCUCACAUGCUCUUGGUGAGUGAUCCAGGUGAUGGCUGACGGGGGUGUGUACUGCAUUGAUGACUUCAGCAGCGUGCGAGGGGCAGACCAAGCAGUGAUUCACAAGGCCAUGGAGCAGCAGACCAUUGGUGUGGCCAAGGUGUGUGCUGGGGACAGAGAAAGGCAGAGGGAGAGUGUGCGAGUGUAUGAAUGUAAGUGACUAAGUGUGUGUGUGUGUGUGUGUGUGUGUAUUUACCUAAUUUACCUAAUUGUAACAUACGGGAAAGGAGCUAU